rnacentral:rRNA from 1 species
UACAGAGGUCCCGAGCGUUGUUCGGAUUCAUUGGGCGUAAAGGGUGCGUAGGCGGCGAGGCAAGUCUGAUGUGAAAUCCCGGGGCUCAACCCCGGAACUGCAUUGGAUACUGCCCUGCUAGAGUACUGGAGAGGGAACUGGAAUUUACGGUGUAGCAGUGAAAUGCGUAGAGAUCGUAAGGAAGACCAGUGGCGAAGGCGAGUUUCUGGACGGUAACUGACGCUGAGGCACGAAGGCCAGGGGAGCAAACGGG